GACGAACGCUGGCGGCGUGCCUAAUACAUGCAAGUUGAGCGCUGAAGGUUGGUACUUGUACCAACUGGAUGAGCAGCGAACGGGUGAGUAACGCGUGGGGAAUCUGCCUUUGAGCGGGGGACAACAUUUGGAAACGAAUGCUAAUACCGCAUAAAAACUUUAAACACAAGUUUUAAGUUUGAAAGAUGCAAUUGCAUCACUCAAAGAUGAUCCCGCGUUGUAUUAGCUAGUUGGUGAGGUAAAGGCUCACCAAGGCGAUGAUACAUAGCCGACCUGAGAGGGUGAGCGGCCACAUUGGGACGGAGACACGGCCCAAACUCCUACGGGAGGCAGCAGUAGGGAAUCGUCGGCAAUGGACGAAAGUCUGACCGAGCAACGCCGCGUGAGUGAAGAAGGUUUUCGGAUCGUAAAACUCGGUUGGUAGAGAAGAACGUUGGUGAGAGUGGAAAGCUCAUCAAGUGACGGUAACUACCCAGAAAGGGACGGCUAACUACGUG
rnacentral:rRNA from 1 species